AGAUGGUUGUGAUGUUGAUAAUAGUGUUAUUAGCGGCUGGCUGAAGUUCCGGGACAACAAGCGGUGGAAGUCGCGCUGGGGAGUCGUCACCAAGUUGUCGCCAGCUGCAGGUACAUUCAGUGGAGCAUAAAGCAGUACAGAUCAUGGAUUAAGUAAACCAUAAACAAUUUUACAUUUUAUUUUAUACAUCGCGCUGUUUAAUACCAU